rnacentral:tRNA from 1 species
GUCCCUGUAGCGCAAUGAAUAGCACGUUGGUCUUCCAAUCCAAAGGUCGUGGGUUCGAAUCCCUCCAGGGACG